rnacentral:rRNA from 1 species
AUACGUAGGGUGCAAGCGUUAAUCGGAAUUACUGGGCGUAAAACGUGCGCAGGCGGUUUUGUAAGACAGAGGUGAAAUCCCCGGGCUCAACCUGGGGACUGCCUUUGUGACUGCAAGGCUAGAGUACGGCAGAGGGGGGUGGGAUUCCGCGUGUAGCAGGGAAAAGCGUAGAUAUGCGGAGGAACACCGAUGGCGAAGGCAAUCCCCUGGGCCUGUACUGACGCUCAUGCACGAAAGCGUGGGGAGCAAACAGGAUUAGAUACCCUGGUAGUCCACGCCCUAAACGAUGUCAACUGGUUGUUGGGUCUUCAUUGACUCAGUAACGAAGCUAACGCGUGAAGUUGACCGCCUGGGGAGUACGGCCGCAAGGUUGAAACUCAAAUGAAUUGACGGGG